GAGGGUAUAGCUCAGGGACAGAGCCCUUCCUUAGCAUGCCCACGGUCCUGGGUUCAAUCCCCAGUACCUCCA
rnacentral:tRNA from 1 species